rnacentral:tRNA from 1 species
UCCCUGGUGGCUCAGAUGGUAAAGCGUCUGCCUGCAAUGCAGAGACCUGGGUUCGAUUCCUGGGUUGGGAA